AGAGUUGUUCAUGGCUCAGACGAACGCUGGCGGCGCGUCUUAAGCAUGCAAGUCGAACGGCAAGAGGUAGCAAUACCGUCCUAGAGUGGCGGACUGGUGAGUAACGACGUGGGUGACAUACCCUUCAGAUGGGGAUAGCUAUUAGAAAUAGUAGAUAAUACCGAAUACGAGCACAGGGGUUAGAGAUCUGUGAGGAAAGGAGCUAAGGCUCCGCUGAAGGAAUGGCCUGCGGCCCAUUAGCUAGUUGGUGAGGUAAGAGCCCACCAAGGCGAUGAUGGGUAUCCGGCCUUAGAGGGUGAACCGGACACAUUGGGACUGAGAUACGGCCCAGACUCCUACGGGAGGCAGCAGCUAAGAAUAUCCCCGCAAUGGACGAAAGUCUGACGGAGCGACGCCGCCGUGGAUGAAGAAGGCCGGAAGGUUGUAAAAUCCUUUUGAAACUGAAGAAUAAGCGUUGUAGGGAAUGACUAGCGUGGUGACAGUAGGUUUUGAAUAAGCAACGGCUAAUUACGUGCCAGCCGCCGC
rnacentral:rRNA from 1 species